AUUGAACGCUGGCGGCAGGCUUAACACAUGCAAGUCGAGCGGAGAUGAGGUGCUUGCACCUUAUCUUAGCGGCGGACGGGUGAGUAAUGCUUAGGAAUCCGCCUAUUAGUGGGGGACAACAUUCCGAAAGGAAUGCUAAUACCGCAUACGUCCUACGGGAGAAAGCAGGGGAUCUUCGGACCUUGCGCUAAUAGAUGAGCCUAAGUCGGAUUAGCUAGUUGGUGGGGUAAAGGCCUACCAAGGCGACGAUCUGUAGCGGGUCUGAGAGGAUGAUCCGCCACACUGGAACUGAGACACGGCCCAGACUCCUACGGGAGGCAGCAGUGGGGAAUAUUGGACAAUGGGGGAAACCCUGAUCCAGCCAUGCCGCGUGUGUGAAGAAGGCCUUAUGGUUGUAAAGCACUUUAAGCGAGGAGGAGGCUACUGAGACUAAUACUCUUGGAUAGUGGACGUUACUCGCAGAAUAAGCACCGGCUAACUCUGUGCCAGCCGCCGCCGUAA
rnacentral:rRNA from 1 species